GGAGGCGGCUGCGGCAGGGGGAGGCGGGAGGCGGGAGGCGGGCGCGCUAGCUCCCAUGCUGGCCUCGGUGCCACUCGCGCGCCGGCCGCGCUCCGGGCUUCUCUUUUCCCUCCGACGCGCCACGGCUGCCCAGACAUUCCGGCUGCCAGGUCUGAAGAGCUCCCCGAACCCCUCCGCGGAGAGGAGCGAGGCGGCGCCAGGGUGGCCCCCGGGGCGCGCUUGGUCUCGGAGAAGCGGGGACGAGGCCGGAGGAUGAGCGACUGAGAGCGACGCGGGCACUGCCGCGACUACCGGCAGCUGACAGCACGAUGAGCGAGUCCCCAGAGACGCCCUAGCCCGGUGUGCGCGCCAGGCGGAGCGCGCAGGUGGGGCUGGGCUCUCAGUGGUCCGCCCCACGCGGGUCGCCGGCCGACCCAGGAUGGGCGCUGGAAACCCGGGCCCGCGCCCGCCGCUGCUACCCCUGCGCCCGCCGCGAGCCCGGCGUCCGGCCCGCGCCCUGCACUCAUGGACGGCGGCUCCCGGCUGGCGGCGGCGCGCCCCCGGGCUGUGAAUGCGACUCGCCCCUCGGCCGCGCUCCCCGCCCGCCCGCCCGCCGGGACGUGGUAGGGGAUGCCCAGCUCCACUGCGAUGGCAGUUGGCGCGCUCUCCAGUUCCCUCCUGGUCACCUGCUGCCUGAUGGUGGCUCUGUGCAGUCCGAGCAUCCCGCUGGAGAAGCUGGCCCAGGCACCAGAGCAGCCGGGCCAGGAGAAGCGUGAGCACGCCUCUCGGGACGGCCCGGGGCGGGUGAACGAGCUCGGGCGCCCGGCGAGGGACGAGGGCGGCAGCGGCCGGGACUGGAAGAGCAAGAGCGGCCGUGGGCUCGCCGGCCGUGAGCCGUGGAGCAAGCUGAAGCAGGCCUGGGUCUCCCAGGGCGGGGGCGCCAAGGCCGGGGAUCUGCAGGUCCGGCCCCGCGGGGACACCCCGCAGGGGGAAGCCCUGGCCGCAGCCGCCCAGGACGCGAUUGGCCCGGAACUCGCGCCCACGCCCGAGCCACCCGAGGAGUACGUGUACCCGGACUACCGUGGCAAGGGCUGCGUGGACGAGAGCGGCUUCGUGUACGCGAUCGGGGAGAAGUUCGCGCCGGGCCCCUCGGCCUGCCCGUGCCUGUGCACCGAGGAGGGGCCGCUGUGCGCGCAGCCCGAGUGCCCGAGGCUGCACCCGCGCUGCAUCCACGUCGACACGAGCCAGUGCUGCCCGCAGUGCAAGGAGAGGAAGAACUACUGCGAGUUCCGGGGCAAGACCUAUCAGACUUUGGAGGAGUUCGUGGUGUCUCCAUGCGAGAGGUGUCGCUGUGAAGCCAACGGUGAGGUGCUAUGCACAGUGUCAGCGUGUCCCCAGACGGAGUGUGUGGACCCUGUGUACGAGCCUGAUCAGUGCUGUCCCAUCUGCAAAAAUGGCCCAAACUGCUUUGCAGAAACCGCGGUGAUCCCUGCUGGCAGAGAAGUGAAGACUGACGAGUGCACCAUAUGCCACUGUACUUAUGAGGAAGGCACAUGGAGAAUCGAGCGGCAGGCCAUGUGCACGAGACAUGAAUGCAGGCAAAUGUAGACGCUUCCCAGAACACAAACUCUGACUUUUUCUAGAACAUUUUACUGAUGUGAACAUUCUAGAUGACUCUGGGAAAUAUCAGUCAAAGAAGACUUUUGAUGAGGAAUAAUGGAAAAUUGUUGGUACUUUUCCUUUUCUUGAUAACAGUUACUACAACAGAAGGAAAUGGAUAUAUUUCAAAACAUCAACAAGAACUUUGGGCAUAAAAUCCUUCUCUAAAUAAAUGUGCUAUUUUCACAAUGGAGAACACUGUGCUUAGUGUUGAAGAUAUCAAAGGGAACUCAAGUGAGGGGAAAAGAGGAGAGCAAACUGAUCAAAAGGGAAUGCCCAUGAUGCUUUCAGGAAACCAGGGUGAGAACAUGCUGGCUGGAGGAUGGGUCUGGUUUCCAGCAGAGAUGAUAGGAGUUAAAAGGCAUAGGUGAGUUGUUCCCAUCCCUGGCCUGAGCCUUACUCCAUAGCUAUAGAAACAUAGUCUCUAGAAACAAAGGCCAGAGCAUCCUUUUAACAUUUAUAUCAUAAGUAUUCUCAAUAAACGUUUGCAAUUUAUUUGCUUUAAUGUAACUUGGCAGUAAAGACUUUGGCCUUUGGAGGUCUGAUUCUCAUCCCAGUUCUACCACUUACUGGUUAUUUAUCAGGUACACGUUACCUACCUCUCUGUAACUCAGAUUGCUCAUCAGUAACAUGGGGAGAGUGGUAUCAACCACUAAGAGGAUUAAAUGAGUGAAUAUUUGUAAAACACGUAGCCUAGAAUAGAUAAAUAUUUAUAAAGCACAAGAUCUAUUUAAAGUGUUUAUAACAUAAUACAUUGGAAUAUGAGACUAUUGAACAUUUUGAAGAUUCUAAUAAAUGAAUAAUUUAGCGCUCAUUUGAAAAAUAUUUUAUCCUCAUGUUUAAAUUUAACACAUAUAAUUUAUAUCUUAGUUUUUAUCCCAUUUAUAUAUAUAUUUACCAGAAAAAUGUUUUGUAAUACCUUAAUUUUAUGUGGAGUUGAAUUUAAAUAAUUAGGCCGAAUUUGUAUGUAUCGUUGGAUGGGUAUGUGUAUUGACCUGAUUUAUAAAAUAAAGUAUUUAUUAAACUGAGUUUUGCACUUCCAGGUAGAGUCACAUUUAAGAUAAUCCUUUGAAAUAUUUUAGCUUUUGAAAGUAGAUUAAGCAAGAUAAAUAAAAUGUAUAUACGUCGUUAAAAAUACUUAAAAUGCUUUAAAUAUUUUGAGUUAUUUAAAAUAUAAUCCUUGAGGCUCACUCAAAUAUGUAACUUUUAUUUCUCUUAUUUAAUGAAAGAUUGACACUGCUGUACCCUGAAGUAGCAUCUAUAAUAUAAUAUCCCACGGAAUUGACUGUGAUAAUACAUUUCUGCUUUGUCAUUUCUAAAAGUAAAUGUAAUGAUUAUGAAACCACAUAUCGAGAAAUAUGGAC